GUUUUUAUUUGUUUUUGCUGUCGCUUAGCAGUUGAACUGUUUUCUGAUGACUUGAGCAAGACUUGUACAAGACUUGUACAACACAUUAUUAACACACAGUGUCUACCAAAAUUAAUGGGUACUUCAAGUUUCAUGUUCAGAGAAAAAUAAAUAUUAAGUUGAUUUUCAUGUAGUACAGUGUACUGUUGACACUGUCUAUGGAAGCAAGUACCAAACUUAGCAGACUGCCAUUCUGUCUGUUUGUUCAAAACUGUACUGACUGAGGACUGACAGAGGUUAAUUAAAUUUAUAAAUGAUUUUUAUUAACAACAAAUUGCAUGUUUUCUUUUCAAUCUUUACUUAGAAUAUCAAUUUGUACAGAAUAUAUGGAUGGAGGUUCCCUAGACAUGUUUGGCUGCAUACCAGAACCAGUUUUAGGCAGAAUUGCAGUUUCAGUAGUCAAAGGACUUCUUUAUUUGUGGGAAUUAAAAAUAAUGCAUAGAGGUGAGCAAGGCCUU